UCCGAGAAACUUAAGGCUCAGAGGAAU
rnacentral:piRNA from 1 species